CGGGGUCCCCUCUGGGCGCCUCCACGAGGACUCUGCCAGCACACGUGCCCUUCCUUCUGCUCUCUCCCCGAUCUUCCCCUGACCCCCAGAGGAAAACCAUGUGGAAUGGGAAGGGGGACCAGAGGAGGGAGGCCAGGCGUGAAGGGAGGGCCGGCAGUCGGAGGAGCCCAGGAGGCCCAGCAAACCGGUCUUAAGACAAAUCCAGCUCGUGUGGGUGUGUGUCUGUUCUGGUUUGCCCAGCCUGGGAGGCCUGGGUCACAGGCCACACACCCUAACACUGACCGGCAGCCGUGAGCGCGUCAGGCUCGGAGUCCAUCCCCUUGGGCUGCAGACUCGGGUUAGCAGUGGUCUGACUUUCGUCUGGGGCAACCCGAGGUCGUCUUUUCCAGGAGCCACAGGAGCGGAGCACCUUGUCCUCAGAACAUUAUCAAGAAGCCUCUUGAGCUGUCGUGUGCCCAGAAUGACGGGCUUUGCGUCUUACUGGGACGAGCGUGGCCCCCUUCUCAGCACCUCAGGUAAGAGGACUCGAGCGAAGCCGACCCGAGCCCACCCGUGAGCACAGUCUCCGAGUCCUGAGCGUGGUGGCAGCACUCCCGGCGUCCUGUCCUGACAGGCAGCACCUGACUCCCCGAGAUUCCACGGCUCCAUGUCCCAGCUGUGAGCCCAGCUGUGGCGCGUCCCUGCUCUCAGCAUGGCCCUGGCCCGUCGCUGGCCCGAGAAAAGGAAGGCAGAUGUCUUCCAGCUGCGUUCCACCAGCCAGCACGUCCAUGUCGGAACAGAUGCAGCCUCGGGGGCGAGGAGUCUGGCGCGUCCACGCCGGAGCAGCCGCGCCGGGUGCAGAAUCCACUCCUGCUGGGAGACGAGAAAGGCUCGUGGGAGGGACACGCUCCUGAGGGCUGUCGGCACAGACGUAAGCCCUUCACUCGUGGAAAGAACCGGCAAGAUGGGCACGUAGAGAAAGUUACUGAGUCGCACUGAAUGUAACACAGAAAACACAAGAAGCGGAUGGUCGCGCUGUGCCCGCGGAGACGCAGGAAACACCACAUGACACCGGUGCCCCCACCCCGGCCCACGGCUCCAGCACCGCAGUGCAAGGCCUGCCCUGCGGGCUCGUUCUCCUCUGGGGCGGGCCGUUCCGGCUGCUGGAGGCGUGUUUGCAGCACCCGGGCCCCACUCAGCACCCCGCCAGGCAUGACUCCCAAAACCACCUGCAGACAUCUCCCUGUGGCCCCCGGGCUGCCUGCACUGAGAUCCCUGCACUGACGCUGCGGAGCGUGAGCAGACGCGUGGGGCGUGAAGAGUGCGCUCCCGC
rnacentral:lncRNA from 1 species